CGCGUAAGUAACUUGCCCAAGGUAAGGAAUAACGUCGAGAAAUCGGCGACUAAUACCUCAUAAUGCAGCGGAUCCGCAUGGAUAUGUUGUUAAAGGUUUACCGCCUUGGGAUAGGCUUGCGUCUGAUUAGCUAGUUGGUGUGGUAACGGCACACCAAGGCUACGAUCAGUAACUGGUCUGAGAGGAUGAUCAGUCACACUGGAACUGAGACACGGUCCAGACUCCUACGGGAGGCAGCAGUGAGGAAUAUUGGGCAAUGCUCGAAAGAGUGACCCAGCAACGCCGCGUGGAGGAUGAAGGUAUUCUAUAUCGUAAACUCCUGGUGAGAGCAGACGAAAGACAGAUUAUUAAUCUGGAUGACUGUAUGCUCAGAGGAAGCCCCGGCUAACUACGUG
rnacentral:rRNA from 1 species